rnacentral:lncRNA from 1 species
CUGGCACCUAUCCACAGCCUGAACCUUGGAGAGCACCUCCCUUGCAUAUGACUUCUGCAAAGGGCAUGUUUCAGCUCACAGGGACAAAGAGCCACUGCACCAGAGAACCAGAAAGAGUUACAGACAUGGCUCACAGGCUUAAGUGUCUUGCUGUAGGUCAUACGGCAGGUUAAUAACAACAUUGGGGCAAGAACACAGCUUACCCUAGUCCUGGGAAAGGCUCCCACACCAAGCUACACACUUUUGCAGUGCUGUUCCACAUGUGAAAAUCCGCUAAGACAAAUAGGUCACAAAAACACCAUGGGAGACGAUGAUGUCUUUUCCUUUUUGUUAUUUUGAUAAAGCUUCAUACAUGGGACAAAAGGAAGAACUAGCCCACCAAGUAGGUUUAAAGGGAGCGUCAGACACAAAAAUGACAUGCUCCAUAUUGCAGUCUAGAAGGAACAACAUGGUGAAUUGUCCACUGCAGAACACUUCACUCUGUCUCGAUUACUACAUGGUGAAUUGAAGUUCCAGUAGAGAGGGAAUCGAGCCGAUACUGAGGAGAUCAAUACCCAUCACCGUAUGGAUCUACUUCUUGGAAUUUGCAAGGAAACCAGUCAACAGAUUUUUCAAGCUUUAUAAGUUUAUCUGCCUGAGAAGUUCACCGGCUACAUAACAUCCUGGACUCUGGAGCCCAAGAGAUGUGUAGUUUCCAUUUUGGAGCCAUUUUCUUUAAUAAAUAAGUAGUGAGGCUGCCAUUCUUGUCAAAAUUGAGGACCACAACCUUACUCAUGAAACUGAAAGAUUGCUUGUUACGAGGAGUUCUGUUUAAGCCAUAAAUGCAAUGUAUCCUUUUUAAAUAAAUGUAUCCAGAAUCUUAGGUGUUCAUUGCUCCAAGCUAUGUGCAGAAUAAAAAGAAAAAAAAAAACAG